UCUGCCAAGUGCUAUAGACAGGACCGGUUUCAAGUGCCAAGAAAUGAAGGAAAAAGGAUGCCCAUGUUCGUCACCGAACUCUUCAUUCAAGGCUUUACUACAUGAGAUCCUUACGUGCAUCCAUUGGAAGACCAAUGGGAAGAACCAGCUUGCGCAAGUAGAAUGGUGCUGUUUGAACUCCUCGUCCACGCAGAUAUCGAUGAGGUCCACUCCUUCUGACAUGGCUCAGGAAGGACGAUCUCGCACCCGGAGAAGGGACAAAGUAAGAGACGCACCACGAGAAUAUGGCGGUGGCGCCGAGUCCGGACUAGGCCCGCAAGUCCACCAAUAUUAAUGAGGUAUACCAAAUCCAGUACAACAAAUAUACUGCACAGCCUGUGGAUGGCUGACCCUGUGGACAAUGAGUAGGAAGGCCACACUCAUGCUGGGAAGUCCUUUCUCUUGAGCUGGCCCAUGGAGAACUUCGUGAUGACCUUCAGUUGGCUGCCUCCAAGGUAGCCCAGCCUCCAGUGAUGGAGGGGAACUGCUCACGGCAUGGUGACAGGAAGCAUAUGGAGAGGAAAGGCUCUGUGGAGAGAGAUAAACCCUUCCAGGCCAGGUGCCCAGUGACCAUCUCCUCUAACCAGACCCCACCUUCCAACAGUAAGCCAGCUAUACUACUCUUAUCUCCAGUCACCUUUGAAACACAUAAGACUGUGGGGGCCAUUUUAGAUCUAAAACGUAACAGUUUUGAUCAGUGGAUUUUCAGCAGUGCUCCAGGAGCUACUUGGAGGUAUUGAGUGUGCUGGGCUGUGCAAAGAAGCUAAAGGAGUAAGACUCUAGCCACCCCUCAGCUUCC